AGUUUGGAAGUAGGCUCCACAACUCUUCUGAAGGCAGAAGAUGAGAUAGGCUCCUCUGAUUUUCACUUUUCCAUCUCAGUUUGGUCUGUGUUACACGGUUCACACAGCUCUUGAUACUGCAGUUUAUCUGGCACGGCAUGUGCUUAUGCAACGGGCCAUCCCAUGCUGUGCUGUAGGUAUGAAGAGAAGUUUAGUUGUAUGGAGAAAAUGCUUCUCACUUUGAAGAUCUCAUUUGAAGGGCUGAUAAAGAAAUGCCCUGAAAUUAAAGAUAUUCUCAGGUUCAGAGAACAAAGGGGGGAAGCACACAGACCCGAGAAAGAAAGCUCCUCUUGUGCGUGAGAGAGUAAAGGACACUUUGACUCACUUGAGAUCCCUCGAAAUGCUAAAAAAAGAAAGGGAAGAAAAAAGUACAAGAAAAGACACUCAUGGAACUGCUGAGGUGAUGUAACCAGGUGUCUUUUCAUGUGUACCCUUUAUUUUCCUUUCUAUCUCAUCAAAUUUAAACAAACUAAUCCUAUGAAGGAUUAAAGCUGUAAUAUCUCCAUGCUACUUUUCUGUGUUCUGGGCUUUUCUCAUGGGUUAACACUUAAGCUGUAAUGAGCUUUGAGGUUUGGUGGAAGCAGAGGCAGCAACUAUUUACACAUGAAAUGGUAGAAGGCAGUGCCUUUUCCUUGGUGAAGGCAUGUUACUCUCACUUUGAGUCACAAUGAAAUCCUUUCAGUCAGUCAUAUGGCCCCUUAAAGCGCCUGGGAAAUGGGAUGUUUGAUUUGGGUUCACUGAGACCUGAUUUGCUUUUUCUGGGUGUGUGGAGAGGUGAGAUGGUGCUGUCAACAGGAGUCUUUUGCAUUUCAGGAGCUGGACCCAGUCUGUUUGUAGCCAUGUACUAUGAAAAAUCAAAGAGGCAAAUUCAGGGUGCAUGUCCC